rnacentral:rRNA from 1 species
GACGAACGCUGGCGGCGUGCUUAACACAUGCAAGUCGAACGAAGUGGCGAACGGGUGAGUAAUACGUGGGUAACCUGCCCUCCUUUUUGGGAUAAGCCUUGGAAACGGGGUCUAAUACCGAAUAAAGGGGGAUGGGCUCGCGGCCUGUCAGCUUGUUGGUGGGGUGAUGGCUUACCAAGGCGGUGACGGUUAGCAGGCCUGAGAGGGGGACCGGCCACAUUGGGACGGAGACACGGUCCAAACUCCUACGGGAGGCAGCGGUGAUGAGAAUGGGUCAAUGGGCGAGAGCCGGACCCAGCCAAGUAGCGGGCAGGAUGACGGCCUAUGGGUUGUAAACUGCUUUAGGUGGGGAUACGGUACCAAAUGAAUAAGGACCGGCUAAUUCCGUGCCAGCAGCCGCGGUAAUAC